rnacentral:rRNA from 1 species
GCCUACGGCCAUACCACCCUGGAAACGCCCGAUCUCGUCUGAUCUCUGAAGCUAAGCAGGGUCGGGCUCGGUUAGUACCUGGUGGGUGAUGCAGAAGAAUGGGGAUGUUCAGUGUGUC